GUGGGGAAUAUUGGACAAUGGGCGAAAGCCUGAUCCAGCCAUGCCGCGUGUGUGAAGAAGGUCUUCGGAUUGUAAAGCACUUUAAGUUGGGAGGAAGGGCAGUAAGUUAAUACCUUGCUGUUUUGACGUUACCGACAGAAUAAGCACCGGCUAACUUCGUGCCAGCAGCCGCGGUAAUACGAAGGGUGCAAGCGUUAAUCGGAAUUACUGGGCGUAAAGUGCGCGUAGGUGGUUCAGCAAGUUGGAGGUGAAAUCCCCGGGCUCAACCUGGGAACUGCCUCCAAAACUACUGAGCUAGAGUACGGUAGAGGGUAGUGGAAUUUCCUGUGUAGCGGUGAAAUGCGUAGAUAUAGGAAGGAACACCAGUGGCGAAGGCGACUACCUGGACUGAUACUGACACUGAGGUGCGAAAGCGUGGGGAGCAAACAGGAUUAGAAACCCCAGUAGUCC
rnacentral:rRNA from 1 species